GUGUUGGCUUCGACAGCACGUAUACUAAAAUUGGAACAACCCAGAGAAGAUUUAUCACGGCCCCGGCACAAGGAUGACAUGAAAAUUCACAAAAUGUUCCAUGUUGUU
rnacentral:snRNA from 1 species